UACAGAGGGUGCGAGCGUUAAUCGGAAUUACUGGGCGUAAAGGGUGAGUAGGUGGUAAUUUAAGUUAUGUGUGAAAUUUUUGAGCUUAACUUAAAAACUGCACAUAAUACUGAACUACUAGAGUACUGUAGAGGGUGAUGGAAUUUCCGGUGUAGCGGUGAAAUGCGUAGAUAUCGGAAGGAACACCAGUGGCGAAGGCGAUCACCUGGACAGAUACUGACACUAAUACACGAAAGCGUGGGGAGCAAACAGG
rnacentral:rRNA from 1 species